UGGGGGGACGACAAUUGGAACCUGGACUGCCCAGGAGGCUGGUAGUGGGUUGGGCAGAAGGAAUGCAGCCCUGGCUCUCAGCCCAGAGGCUUUGGGUCCGCCUGAGGCUGCCUUGGGGGUGGUGGUGGUAUACCUGGCUGGGCAGGGAGCUGCGACCAAGGGCUCUGUGUCUGAAUUAGCUUAGGGUGUUUGUGGGGAGUGGGGAGUGGAGGUGUGGGUGGGACUGAGGGUGGGUGGGUAGCCCACAGCUUGGUUUUCUCCUCUGCUGCCUUGGGCCAGGCGUGUUCCUUCUUGUGUCUAGGCUGCUCCUGGAGUUGGGAGAAAGAAGGCUAAGUUAGUGCUGGAUGACAAUGACCCACCAAAGACUGCUGCUGAAGGGUCCUUGCCUCCUAAGGAGACUGCCACCAUGCAGCCUCUGAAGUGGGAGAAGCUGAGAAGGUGAAGCCGCUAAUGAUGUAACUUGCAGAUCCCUGCUGGAUCAACUCAUUUCUCUGUGCAGAAGAUCAGCCACUGUUCAAGGAAUAUAGAGCCCCACUCAGGGCCAAGGAGAGGCUCCAGAAAAAUCACAAACACAAGAAUGUGUGUGAGGUACUGGAUAAAGCUGAGCAUGCUGUCCCAGGCAUGGGGCCUUCUCACCGGUUCUCUGAAGCCACCCCCUCCUUUAUGCCUUGAGGCUGCUUGCUGAUGCCAGGAGUAAAAGAAAUGACUCCUGCCCCUCUGUCUGUGUCUCUCUGUCUCUCUGUCUGUGUCCACCCUCCCCCCCCACCCCCCAAAUCUGUCUUCUCCUGGCAGCUGCAGAGAUUUAUAAUUUACCUGCCUUGUUGUUUCUCUCUUACAC
rnacentral:lncRNA from 1 species